rnacentral:rRNA from 1 species
AUGCUUGAUAGCCCGCAUGCUGAGGAGUUGCAACUUAGAAGACUUAAUUAUGGGGUGGUUACUCUGAUUCCUAAAACGAAAGAUGCUGCAACUAUCAAGCAAUAUCGGCCAAUAUGUUUAUAUUAUGUUUGUUAACAAAUUGUGACUAAAGUACUGACAAAUAGGCUUGAGAGAGUUGCAGAUAAGGUGGUGAGUAAGAGCCAGACGACAUUUAUGAAAAACGGAAAUAUUUUAGAUGGGGUGGUUACUAUCCAUGAGGUGUUUCAUGAGCUUAGGAGGACUAAACAAGAGGGGGUCAUACUAAAGCUAGACUUUGAAAAAGCAUAUGACAGGGUGAAUUGGGAUUUUCUACAAGAGGUUUUGCUUAAAAAGGGUUUUCUUUAG